AGAAGUUUAGGUUAAACAAACCAAGGGCCUUC
rnacentral:tRNA from 1 species